GAUGAACGCUAGCGGCAGGCUUAAUACAUGCAAGUCAAGGGGGUAGCAAUACUACCGGCGCACGGGUGAGUAACACGUACAUAACAUACCAUAUACUGGGGUAUAGCUUUGGGAAACUGAAGGUAAUCCCCCAUAACAUUGCGAGAGGGCAUCUGAUUGCAAUUAAAGUUUCGACGGUAUAUGAUUGAUGUGCGUUUGAUUAGCUUGUUGGUAGGGUAACGGCCUACCAAGGCGACGAUCAAUAGCUGGCGUGAGAGCGCGACCAGCCACACUGGAACUGAGACACGGUCCAGACUCCUACGGGAGGCAGCAGUAGGGAAUAUUGGACAAUGGGCGAAAGCCUGAUCCAGCCAUGCCGCGUGAUAGAUGAAGG
rnacentral:rRNA from 1 species